rnacentral:sRNA from 12 species
AACUUUAUAAAAAGCGUGUUGCAACCUUGUGAAGAGCGUCUAACCAACGCUGCAAGGGCGCCUCGGAACAGCUGAGGAGUCGUCAGAAGGAUACUUCAAAACGGCUCAACUUUCACAGAAAUCGAAAGACGAAGUGAGAAGGAGUAAAACUCCAACAGAGAAGAGGUGGCGCAAGGGCAAUAUGAUUAUAAGACACGAUUCCGGUUUUCCCAACAAUAGACGCCUCGGUGAGGAAUAACCCUAUAGACCACAUCCGCAAGAUGUGAGCCAAUGUAGGGAAUGCAAAAGCAAUGGGAAUGCCUCGACACUACGUCAGAAAUGGCGUAGAACCGGUUUGCGGUACGAGUAGCCUAAGAGGCGUAAUAUUUCUAAAAUAGUUGACAUUAAUUAUUGGGCAAAUGUUAUUAAUCUGAAUGGUUGGUGAAAGUUAGGGGUACAUGAAUCCCCUUCGAGACAGUGGUUCCGAAAGGAACUGGGGUAAGAAGUUAUACGGCGACGGCUGUAUGGCUCAGACUUAUCUCCUCGGUGGUCGAAUAAUAAAGGUUAUUGAGGGAGUAUAGCGAAGGCUAGCAAUAUACUUUUUAUAAAG